AUCCUAAACCCACAAACGUGGGCUCUUGCACUCUCAAAAACACAAACUCCAAAUGUCCAUUUUCUGUCUUUUUGACCCCUUUCCACUGACAACUCUUCUUCAGUCUCAGCUUUUAUCCUUAGUUCCUCCCAUCCAUCUAUGUGUGUGUGUGUGUGUGUGUGUGUGAAAGUGUAUGUACCACUACUGUCAAUCAGUUUCUGAAAAUCCUGACAGAUUAUUAUAGGCAAAAGAGAGAGAGGAAAAAAAAAAAAAAAAGGUAGAAGAAAAAUUGUAAGUAAGAAAAUGGCGCAAGUGAGAAGAAUCAAGCUCGGUUCACAAGGUAUAGAGAUAUCGGCUCAAGGACUUGGCUGCAUGGGCAUGUCGGCUUUCUAUGGCCCUCCAAAGCCUGAAUCCGAUAUGAUAUCUCUCACCCACCACGCCAUCAACUCCGGAGUCACUUUCCUCGAUACCUCCGACAUCUAUGGUCCUUUCACCAACGAAAUCCUUCUUGGAAAGGCACUGAAAGAUGGAGUGAGGGAAAAAGUAGAGCUUGCUACUAAAUUUGGUAUCAGGUUUUCUGACGGAAAGAAUGAGAUUCACGGCGAUCCUCAGUAUGUGAGAGCAGCUUGUGAGGGCAGUUUGAAGAGGCUUGGUGUUGAUAGCAUCGAUCUCUAUUACCAGCAUCGGAUCGACACCAGGGUCCCGAUUGAAGUCACGGUGGGGGUGCUAAAGAAACUGGUUGAAGAGGGUAAAAUAAAAUACAUUGGUCUAUCUGAGGCCUCUGCUGCAACAAUAAGAAGAGCUCAUGCUAUUCAUCCAAUAACAGCCGUGCAGUUGGAGUGGUCCUUGUGGUCGAGAGAUGUGGAGGAAGACAUAAUUCCUAGCUGCAGGGAACUUGGCAUUGGCAUUGUAGCAUACAGUCCCUUAGGUAGAGGGUUCCUGUCAUCUGGACCCAAACGGUCUCAUCCAUGCUUUGUAUGUUGAGUGACUAUGCCUUUCAAGAGUGAGGAACUCCUCUAAAUAUGUAAGAGAGAACAUCAUAUAGUCUUUGGCUUGCUCCUUUUUCUUUUCUUCUUUCCAAAUAAUCCUCAAUCCUUUUUUAUAAGCAAGCAAGGGUCUGCUUGAGGAUUCAAUUGUAAAAUAGCUUAUUGCCUUGAAGAACUAUACUUUAAAGCUGGGAUUCUUAAGCCAAUCUAGAAGCUCCUCAGCUGAGUAAUCUUCAAGAGGUUUUGAAGACAAAUAAUCCAUGUAACAGUCAUAACCUGGUUCACACAUAGAGGGAUCACAAUCCCAGAUGAAGUGUCCAUCUAUGUGAUUGAUGUAGAUUGCCUUUCCAUCAAGUUUGAAUUGGUGAAUGGGAAUCUGGUCUAUGGGUGAAUUAGCCUAAUAGUCUGUAUUAUAAAUUGAGAUCAUCAUGGUUUGGAAUGUUCCUUUUGGAGUUGUGGAUGUCUCAGGCUGCGAGAAAGUGGCUUCGAUAGAAUUGUCUUCCUUUCUUCUGAAAGUUAGGUCCAUGGAGACUAGAGGCUUAGCUUGGAGAGCUUGUAGCUGGAGCUUCUCGUAGUUCGUAAUCAUUUAAAUGGGAUUAUCUUUUGCAUUUCUUCUGUUGAUAUUUUUCAGGGAAACUGGAUGAUAGAUACGCCUUCUUCAGAGCCACAGUCUAAGUUAAUAAAGACUGGAUCUGUUUUAAAACCACUAAUAUAUAAAUUUAAGGCAUGGUUCUGAAGGCGAUAUGCCAGCUUGUAAUGUAGAGUAGCAGCAAAGCUUUCAACAAUCUAUUCAGCUUUAUGUAAUCGUACCUAAAUCUUUAGGAGUUCAAGUAGCUUAGGUUCUUUUACUGGAAUGUUAAAAUUUAGGUAAAAUGUUAGGACAAUACUUUCAGCAUUUAGCGUUCUUAGUAUUGUACCUAUGGCAACAUGUUCGUACUGUACAAUAGUAUGGUUUAACAGAGCUAA